UUUUUUUUUUUUAACUAGCGGGGCAGUGAAAUCUUUGCUUUGUUGCUAAAGUCAACAGUGACAGAGUUUGAGCUCAAAUAAAUGCCGCGAGGCUCCCAGCCCUGUGCAGAAGGCAGCGGGAGAGGCUCCGAUACCGUUCUGCAGGCUCCAGAUCUGAACCAAUCAGCAAUCAACUUCACCGUCGUGCCAUGCCCCUUCCUUUGGUAACUGCUGGUUCAACCCUUUCCAUCAGCCACGUUCACCUGCAGCUACCCUCAGUCACGUCUGACCUGGAUGCAUGAGCAAGAUAACAUUCACAUCUGCAACGUCAAGAGAGAGGGGCACAAGGAAGCCUGACAUUAAUGAUUAACUGUGCUAAGAGCCCCUGCUUUUGUAUUCCCAUGGUGCCAGGGCUAUCUGCCGAUCAUGUGACCUGCACCGAGAAGAUUGGGGGAGUGAGCGUAAAAGCAAACACAGGUGUUUGGGCUGGAGUCGGUCGGCGCUGUUAGGGACAACUGCAAACACAGGCUGCCAUGCCUGGAGGCACGAACGACCGCCCACACCAACAGGACAGCCAACCGGAGUCACCGACUCAACUCUGAUGCUCUCAGCCUGCCUUUUCUUUGAACAAUUAAGACUCUUCAUUGGCCUAUUAAAGUCUGCUUUCUGAGUACAGUUUGACCUAAGGAGCUAUGGAUUCUUAAUUAGCCAUCAUAAACAGGCAUAGGCUUAAAUAGAAAUAAACAAAUCCCUUUUUUUAAAUAAAUAAACAUCAUGACUAUUAAUACAGCUUACUAAAUGCAGAAAAAUGUGGUAAAAUUAUUGAACCUCCUAUGAGGUCUCUCAGUGUUUUAAAAAUCCAGUGAAAAUCACACUGUUACUACAGGAAAUUUGUGUGGUUCGUUCAUCUAAAAGUCAACUCACUUUAAGCUAGUUUUGAGCUGAUUGAGAGAGUGGUCGCUUGUCGCUUUAAAUUUAUUUCCAUUGAACUCGUAUUUAAUGCAAUCACAAUUAAACAUUUUAAUCCAUGAAAUACACACCUUUUGUUAAUUUAAAAUGUGUUUAAUGUAAAAUCAUUUAAGAAAAGAGCAUAUUUGAAGUAAACAAUGUAAAUUAAGUUGAAAGAGCACAAAGCUAGUGCAGAGGGACAUUUAGCCACCUGUCUCUGAGUAGUACUGCACAGUACUGCAAGUCAAAAAUAAAAAUAUAAAGUAGGAAAAAGCAGUUAGGGAAUAAUUAUUUAAUAAGUUUAAUUAGUGCACAUGGUUGUUUGCAGGUAUAAAGUGCACAAUAGUUAAUCUAACCAUAAUGAUUAAGAGUUAUAGUAAAGAUGAUGAUAGAGCCAGUAUACCUUUAUUGUCAAUAAUUGCAAAAUAUAUUUAGAGCUCGCAAGUCUCUAAUUGAUAAUAAAUUGCAUUAAAUUUUGUAAUUUGUCGCCUUAAGUGUACUUUCACUGUGAUGCCAUGAAAGAAUCAUUUUGGUUUCCCAAAAAAGCUAUCAGAAAACAGUUCUUAAAAUAAUAUUUAUUUUCUUAGCAUGAUUUUUUAUUAAUUUUUUUUUUCAACUAUAAAGAUGACCAUAGAUAUUAGUAAAGAACCUUUAUUUUUAAGAGUGUAUAUGCAGCAGUGAAUGCUGCAUAAGGGGCCCUGUGAACUCCACUUUACUGGAUGCGACCGUCCCCCAGGUGUAUCAGUGCUCGGGGUGGGGUGACAGAAAAUCUGCCUCUUGUUAGAAAAUGGACAGAUUCUGUUUUGCAUAAAUGUAUAAUAUUAAUAUUUGUCAGUUAGUCAAGCAGCACUUUAAAUAACCAAGAGGGGUAAUGAGGUUUUGACGUGGAAGGGAGUUGGGUGCAAACACACACACACACACACACACACACACACACACACACACACACAAAAAUGUAAGGAAGAAUACAAAAGAGGAAAUGAUUUUUUGACAUUUAUUAGAAAUAUAGCUACUGUAGGUAUUUAAAUUUUAUAUUUCUAUUUCUGUCAAACUGGCUAAGUCUAAGACUCUAUGGAAAAGCAAUAUUUCUAGUCUGAGACAAUAUAUGGAAAAGGGAAAUGAUUCCAUUUUCUAAUUAAAUAUACAUAUUCAUUAUAUAUUAUUUUCAUCUAAAAAAUAUAUUAAAAUAUAAUUAUUACAGUCACAAUUUGGGGCUAACUGAAUGUCAGAAUGUCUAACAGGACAAAAAAAAUCUUCAUAAAACCUGAUACAUGCAAUCCAUCAUGAUUUAGAAUGUUCCAAAAAGUAGGCCUAUUUGAAAUUCACAUAAAUAAAUAAAUAAAUAAAUAAAUAAAUAAAUAAAUAAAUAAAUAAAUAAAUAAAUAAAUAAUAAUAAUAAUAAUAAAAUCCUUUAAGGACUAAAAUAAUACCAGGAACAGAUAUCCAAAUAUAGAUCAAUCUGUACUGUAUUUUGAGGCAGACACAUGCAUCAGAUCACAGCUUUGAAGGAUUUGAAGCAUCAGCUUUGUAGGCAUUGUCUCUCUUCAACAAGAUAUGUGUCCAUUGUGGGCUGAAAGUGAGCUAAUCAAAGUGAGCCGGCAGCAAUAAGCAGCAGAUGAACGGUGCGUUGCUCUGUUGAGUUUUUGAUGUUUCAGACACAAUGCAACGUGAAAAGAGCAAGUAUCCUAAGAAGCUUUUAUUUAUUUAUUUUUUUUUGUCUGGCUCCACACCUAUAAUGAGGUCACACAGCAGCCUGUGUUAAGGCUGUCUGGUGUAUUCAUUCACAUGUUAAAAGAUGCCACCAAUACACAAACUUAGAAAAAUAAGGAAUUUAAGAAGUUUUUUUUUUUUAUUUUUUUUUUUUAUCUGGUGUCAAACUGGAUAUCUGCUACAUCCCAUAACUAAAGAGAGAGCAGGAAGAAAUUCUUCCACUAUGGUCUUCUCAGACAUGAUUUGGGCAGCAAGGGUUCCGGGACGGUUCAAGCGUGUGCACAUGAGUGCACAUGAUGUCUUUUAAUCAAAGGUGGUAAAUGCUUAUUGUCGAGAAGUUCUUAAGGAGUUGAACCAGUGCACUUCUUAUAUUUACCAUGAAGCCUUCACUGGGGAGAGGUGCAGAAUUAAAUAUAACGGCAUUAGACAACAAACAAUGUUGAAUAAGUUUGAAUUAUUCCAGGGGGUGGAAACCAUGUUUGUUUUUGUAAUGUGUCACUGAAUCGCUCCACUUAAAACAAAAAAAAAAAAACCUUUUCCUUUAUGACUGAGAUCAAGACCCUUUACUUUUAUAAAAAUUCCUAAUGCAUUUUUGAUGCCUCUAACACAAUCCUUCAUGUUUACUUUAAGGGUCGGUGCAAAUAGAAAUAACUUCAAGAUGAACACUUACUGGAAUGAAGCAACUUGGGUUUAUUUGAUUAUCCAGACAUUAUCUUUUAGAAAAAUCAUGCUCAAAUAUGAGUCUCAAAUAUAAUAAUCAGGCUUUUGAGGAAAGUUUAUUUGUUCAUCUCUCAAUCAUCAGACUACUGAGCUUCAUUAAACUGAGCAUUUAAAUAUAAUCUAAGCCAUAUUAUUGGGAGAAAUAGAAUGACCUCUGGUGUCUAAAUGAUCGAAUUUUAGUCUCCUAUACUAUAUAUCUCAUUAAUUUCCAUUAGAAGCUAUCAGAAUUUCAUCUGACUUUUUGGCUCAGUCUAGGCAUCUAAAUAUGCACUCCAUAUUAUCCAAUGUCAUAAUAUACGAGCCAUAAAAGCCUGGUGGAUUAAAUAUGGUAUAAAAAC